rfam:Microgenomates (Woesebacteria) bacterium GW2011_GWB1_38_8 TT08_C0005, whole genome shotgun sequence.
GGUGAGGUGUCUGAGUGGUCUAAAGAGCACGAUUGGAAAUCGUGUGUAGCUGCAAAGUUACCGUGGGUUCGAAUCCCACCCUCACCG